GCGGGUUCGAGCCCCGUCAGUCCCG
rnacentral:tRNA from 9 species